AUAACAGUUAGAAAUGACUGCUAAUACCGCAUAAGACCACAGCACCGCAUGGUGCAGAGGUAAAAAUUCCGGUGGUAUGAGAUGGACCCGCGUCUGAUUAGCUGGUUGGUGGGGUAACGGCCUACCAAGGCGACGAUCAGUAGCCGGCCUGAGAGGGCGACCGGCCACAUUGGGACUGAGACACGGCCCAAACUCCUACGGGAGGCAGCAGUGGGGAAUAUUGCACAAUGGGGGAAACCCUGAUGCAGCGACGCCGCGUGAAGGAAGAAGUAUUUCGGUAUGUAAACUUCUAUCAGCAGGGAAGAAAAUGACGGUACCUGACUAAGAAGCCCCGGCUAACUACGUGCCAGCAGCCGCGGUAAUACGUAGGGGGCAAGCGUUAUCCGGAUUUACUGGGUGUAAAGGGAGCGUAGACGGAGAGGCAAGUCUGAUGUGAAAACCCGGGGCUCAACCCCGGGACUGCAUUGGAAACUGUUUUUCUAGAGUGUCGGAGAGGUAAGCGGAAUUCCUAGUGUAGCGGUGAAAUGCGUAGAUAUUAGGAGGAACACCAGUGGCGAAGGCGGCUUACUGGACGAUGACUGACGUUGAGGCUCGAAAGCGUGGGGAGCAAACAGGAUUAGAUACCCUGGUAGUCCACGCCGUAAACGAUGACUACUAGGUGUCGGGUGGCAAAGCCAUUCGGUGCCG
rnacentral:rRNA from 1 species